CGGGAGGGAUCCCGUGGGAAUGUAGCCGGAAAAAGGCUGAACCGUGAA
rfam:Methanomethylovorans hollandica DSM 15978, complete genome.